AUGUUAGCUCAGGGUCAAUCUUCCUCACCAAAAAAAUAAAUAAUAUCCAUGCGUUCAUGCUGACAUGAAUAAAUGAAUGAAUAAAUAAGUAUGGGAGAAGAGUCAAAUUUUCCUUACAGAGGAAUUUCAAAUUGUAUGGACAUUUCCUCCAGGAGGUGGAGUUUAUUCACUUCCCCCUUAAGUGUGGGCUGAACUCAGGAAUAGAGUAUGGAAAGGAAAAAUAGUCACUUUUCGGUGGAGAAACCUGGCACGUACUAGCUUGGCUAGGUGAUCAAGGUGAACAGUCAUGUUGAUAGCAUGUUCCCCUGAUUCCAUGUAAUGACAGGGCCACCUCACCUCUGUGGUCUUAAAACCCAUAACCCCAUCUAUUCAUGAGAAGAAAACCAGACAAACCCAGAUUGAGGGACACUCUGCAAAAUACCUGACCAACACUCAUCAAAACCGUCAAGAUCGUGAAAAACAAGCGAAGACCGAGAAGACGAGGGGAACGUGAACCAGCACCUUAAACACUGUGCUCUGAACCCAACCAGCACCACCUCAAGAGCAGACUGCAGCUGAGGUGUCGGCCAGGGCUGUGGCCGUCUCUGGUGAGACCCUCCAAGCUCACCCAGGGGGACCUCUCCACGGGGCUGCCUCGUGACACGGCAGCUGAUCUCCACUGGAAGCAGGAAGUCCGAGAAAGAGUGAGAGAACACCCAAGACAGAAGCAGGAAGUCAGAGAAAGAGUGAGAGUAAUGCCCAAGACGGAAGCCACAGUCUUUUUAAAAUCUUAUCUCACAAGUGACAUCCCAUUGCGUCUGUCAUAUUCUAUUCAUUAGAAGCAAGUCAACAAAUCCAGCCCAAUCCAGCCCAUACUCCAGGGGAGGAGAUCACACAAGGGUGUGAAUUCCAGGAGGUAUCAUUGGGGGCCAUCUUAGAGGCUGCCUAUGACAGCUUUUUUUUUUUUAACAUAUACAGAGAAGAAGUCUGUACUUUGUUACUUCUACUUUAUGUUUUACCUUUAAAUAAUAAAAUUCCUCUAUUAGAUCCAGGUUAAAAGAAAAAAUCUUCCAUUACAUUUCUUGUCACUAAUUUAACUCUUUCAUGUAUCAGAGUAAUAAGUACGGGGCUGUUCUUUGUCCUUCCUGAAGGCUGCCAGGGGCCCUCUCAGGUUUUACAACCAGCAUAUGUUCGGCUUUUUAGAAUACAGGCAUAAUUACCUCCUCAGUCUCUCUCCCCUCUGAGCAGUAAAGGCCCAACUGCUUCUUAGGUUCCAGUCCCUCCAGAUCUUGCCUCCCUCCGUUUUGAGUGCCCUUUAAGGAGAAGCAAUAACCCACAGGGCCCCUGACAUUCCCAUCCUCCUGGAACCGCAGAGAAGACUUACCUUCAACCAACCAGCUUCUAGCUUCUCAGAAACUGUAGCUUCAAUUUGCAACAAAAGCUUUCAAAAUAUGCCUCCUUUUAUUGAAUGUAUUCCAUUUAUAGAAAUGUAUCCUAAGAAACUAAGCAAGGAUGUCCACAAAGAACGGGCCAAAAGAGUUUUCCAUUGCAAUAUUUUCUAUAACUGUGAAAAAAUUGGAAACUACGUAAAUGCCUAAUAAUAAGUGAUAGCUUGAAUAAAGUAUGCAAUGUCCAAAGGGAUGCAAACUCUGUACCCAUUAAACCAAAUUGUAUCCAGUGGAACCAUACAUGAUUGCUGUCUUAUAGGUCAACACUGGUUGAAUUUUGGUAAUAUCAUAUGGUUCAACCUAAUAGAAGGAUAUUUUUUGGUAUACAAAUAGGUUUAUAACCUACUCUUGAGCGAGGCAAGCAGAGUACAACAGUAUUUAUGGAACAGUCUCAUUUUUGUGUGGACAAAUACACAUAAAUAUAUUUGUAAAGCAAAAAGUCUGGAAAAGCAUACACCAAAAUGUUCACAGUAGUUAUCUUUAGGAGGAAGAAUUAUGGGCAAUUUUAUCUUUUUUUUUUUAAUGAAGUUUCUGCUUUUUUCCAAUGAAUACUUCCUAUUGGUGUAAAGUUGACAGGCUCUUAAAUAAAUAAAACACCGUAAGAGAUCAA